rnacentral:rRNA from 1 species
UCUUCGGGGCCAACCUCCCACCCUUGUAUACUGUACCAAGUUGCUUCGGCGGGCCCGCCGUUCGCGCGGCCGCCGGGGGGGAACCCCUCCCCCCGGGCGAGCGCCCGCCGGAGACCCCAACGUGAACACUGUCUGAAGUUUUGUCGUCUGAGUUCGAUUGUAUCGCAAUCAGUUAAAACUUUCAACAAUGGAUCUCUUGGUUCCGGCAUCGAUGAAGAACGCAGCGAAAUGCGAUAAUUAAUGUGAAUUGCAGAAUUCAGUGAAUCAUCGAGUCUUUGAACGCACAUUGCACCCCCUGGUAUUCCGGGGGGUAUGCCUGUCCGAGCGUCAUUGCUGCCCUCAAGCCCGGCUUGUGUGUUGGGUCCUCGUCCCCCCCGGGGGACGGGCCCGAAAGGCAGCGGCGGCACCGCGUCCGGUCCUCGAGCGUAUGGGGCUUUGUCACACCGCUCUCGUAGGCCCGGCCGGCGCUGGCCGACGCUGAAAAGCAACCAUUAUUUCUCCAGGUUGACCUCGGAUCAGGUAGGGAUACCCGCUGAACUUAAGCAUAUCAAUAAGCGGAGG